rnacentral:rRNA from 1 species
UACGAAGGGGGCUAGCGUUGUUCGGAAUUACUGGGCGUAAAGCGUGCGCAGGCGGCUGCUCAAGUCAGGGGUGAAAGCCCAGAGCUCAACUCUGGAAUUGCCUUUGAGACUGAGUGGCUUGAGUACGGGAGAGGUGAGUGGAAUUCCCAGUGUAGAGGUGAAAUUCGUAGAUAGUCGGGAGGAACACCGGUGGCGAAGGCGGCGAUCUGGGUCGAUACUGACGCUGAGGUGCGAAAGCGUGGGGAGCAAACAGG